GAUGAAGAACGUAGCGAAAUGCGAUAAGUAAUGUGAAUUGCAGAAUUCAGUGAAUCAUCGAAUCUUUGAACGCACCUUGCGCUCCUUGGUAUUCCGAGGAGCAUGCCUGUUUGAGUGUCAUGAAAUUCUCAACCUUUUCAGCUUUCUUUGUUGAUCAGGCUUGGAUGUGGGAGUAUGCGGGCUUCUCAGAAGUCGGCUCUCCUGAAAUGCAUUAGCGGGACCUUUGUUGCCUGGCUUUGGUGUGAUAAUUAUCUACGCCAUUGUAGUCAAGCAGCUUAAAAUGAGGUUUCAGCUUCUAACCGUCUCCCCUGAGACAACUUUUUGACAAUUUGACCUCAAAUCAGGUAGGACUACCCUCUGAACUUAAGCAUAUCAAUAAGCGGAGGA
rnacentral:misc_RNA from 1 species